CAACGUUGGUCUCAAAGUCCACUGUUAGCUAGCUGUGUUGUUCACAGAGUGGUUGCAACACUCCAGCACAUAGCCGCAGCCCUCGCUGUGGCACCUGCACCGAGUCAAGGAGUAUUCCUGGUGUGAGGAGGGGAGGCUCAUUCGCCGCUGCCAGCUCUGAGAUUAUUAUCAUUAAGAGGAGGCAAAUAAAAUGACACGUGACGACUCCGCAUGAUUAUUGGCGCAAUCACUCAUGUAACAGCCUGCCCAGCUUUCCGUGGGGGCUCCAGUAUUUGUCACUGUCACUUCCCCAAGUGCUCCGCCAUUGUCUUGGAAAUUGUAUGUGUAAGGCAAGAGAUGCCUGUGACCCACUUCGACAAGGGAGCCAGCGAUGUGAGGGCGCUCAUCACACAAAAAAACAGCAGUUUGAUGUGUCCUAUUAUGUGU